ACAGAGGUCCCGAGCGUUGUUCGGAUUCACUGGGCGUAAAGGGUGCGUAGGUGGUUAGGUAAGUCUACUGUGAAAUCUCGGAGCUCAACUCCGAAACUGCAGCGGAUACUAUCUAGCUUGAGGAUUGGAGGGGGGACUGGAAUUCUCGGUGUAGCAGUGAAAUGCGUAGAUAUCGAGAGGAACACCAGUGGCGAAGGCGAGUCCCUAGACAAUUCCUGACGCUGAGGCACGAAAGCUAGGGGAGCAAACAG
rnacentral:rRNA from 1 species